GUCAGGAUGGCCGAGCGGUCUAAGGCGCGUUCAGGUCGCCAUCCGGUAUUCCGGGCGUGGGUUCGAAUCCCACUUCUGACA